rnacentral:rRNA from 1 species
AUGUGGGAAACCACGAUGCGGGAAACCCAAGUGCCAGCGCUAUGCGUUGGCUGUCCUCCAGUGUUCGUAACUGGGGAAGAAAGUGCUGGGUAAGACGGGUGCCAGCCGCCGCGGUAAUACCCGCAGCACAAGUGGUGGUCAUUAUUAUUGGGCCUAAAGCGUCCGUAGCUGGCUUGUUAGAUGCCUGGGUAAAUCGAUGCGCUCAACGCAUCGAACUCCGGGUAGACCGGCAAGCUUGGGACCGGGAGAGGCGUGAGCUACUCGAGGGGUAGGGGUAAAAUCCUGUAAUCCUUCGGGGAGGACCAGUGGCGAAGGCGUCACGCUAGAACGGCUCCGACAGUGAGGGACGAAGCCCUGGGGCGCAAACCGGAUUAGAUACCCCCGUAGUCC